rnacentral:rRNA from 1 species
GAUGAACGCUAGCGGCAGGCUUAAUACAUGCAAGUCGAGGGGUAGCAAGAUUGUAGCAAUACAAUUGUUGACGACCGGCAAACGGGUGCGGAACACGUACACAACCUUCCUACAAGUGGGGAAUAGCCCAGAGAAAUUUGGAUUAAUACCCCGUAACAUAGCGAUGUGGCAUCACAUUGCUAUUAUAGCUUCGGCGCUUGUUGAUGGGUGUGCGGCUGAUUAGAUAGUUGGCGGGGUAACGGCCCACCAAGUCUACGAUCAGUAGCUGAUGUGAGAGCGUGAUCAGCCACACGGGCACUGAGACACGGGCCCGACUCCUACGGGAGGCAGCAGUAAGGAAUAUUGGACAAUGGACGCAAGUCUGAUCCAGCCAUGCCGCGCGAAGGAUUAAGGUCCUCUGGAUUGUAAACUUCUUUUAUAAGGGACGAAAAAAGGUCUUUCUAGAUCGUCUGACGGUACCUUAUGAAUAAGCACCGGCUAACUCCGUGCCAGCCGCCGCCGUAAGAC